rnacentral:rRNA from 1 species
UACGAAGGGGGCUAGCGUUGCUCGGAAUCACUGGGCGUAAAGCGCACGUAGGCGGAUCUUUAAGUCAGGGGUGAAAUCCUGGAGCUCAACUCCAGAACUGCCUUUGAUACUGCAAAUCUCGAGUCCGGAAGAGGUGAGUGGAAUUCCUAGUGUAGAGGUGAAAUUCGUAGAUAUUAGGAAGAACACCAGUGGCGAAGGCGGCUCACUGGUCCGGUACUGACGCUGAGGUGCGAAAGCGUGGGGAGCAAACAGGG